rnacentral:rRNA from 1 species
CUACGGGUCGCUGCAGUGAGGAAUAUUGCACAAUGGGGGGAACCCUGAUGCAGCAACGCCGCGUGGAGGAUGACGCAUUUCGGUGUGUAAACUCCUUUUAUAUGUCAAGAAAAUGACGGUAGCAUAUGAGUAAGCACCGGCUAACUCCGUGCCAGCAGCCGCGGUAAUACGGAGGGUGCAAGCGUUACUCGGAAUCACUGGGCGUAAAGGACGCGUAGGCGGGUUGGAAAGUCAGGUGUGAAAUCCUACAGCUUAACUGUAGAACUGCACUUGAAACUUCUAAUCUAGAGUAUGGGAGGGGUAGAUGGAAUUAGUGGUGUAGGGGUAAAAUCCGUAGAUAUCACUAGGAAUACCUAAAGCGAAGGCGAUCUCCUGGAACAUUACUGACGCUAAGGCGUGAAAGCGUGGGGAGCAAACAGGAUUAGAUACCCUCGUAGUC